rnacentral:rRNA from 1 species
CAGCACCUCAAGUGGUCCGGAUGAUUAUUGGGCCUAAAGCAUCCGUAGCCGGCGCUGUAAGUUUUCGGUUAAAUCUGUACGCUCAACGUACAGGCUGCCGGGAAUACUGCAGCGCUAGGGAGUGGGAGAGGUAGACGGUACUCGGUAGGAAGGGGUAAAAUCCUUUGAUCUAUUGAUGACCACCUGUGGCGAAGGCGGUCUACCAGAACACGUCCGACGGUGAGGGAUGAAAGCUGGGGGAGCAAACCGGAUUAGAUACCCGAGUAGUCC